UGGGGAAUAUUGGACAAUGGGCGCAAGCCUGAUCCAGCCAUGCCGCGUGAGUGGAUGAAGGCCCCUAGGGUUGUAAACGCUCUUUCCACCGGUGAAGAUAAUGACGGUAACCGGAGAAGAAGCCCCGGCUAACUUCGUGCCAGCAGCCGCGGUAAUACGAAGGGGGCUAGCGUUGUUCGGAUUUGACUGGGCGUAAAGCGCACGUAGGCGGACUUUUAAGUCAGGGGUGAAAAUCCCGGGGGCUCAAACCCCGGAACUGCCUUUGAUACUGGAAGUCUUGAGUAUGGUAGAGGUGAGUGGAAUUCCGAGUGUAGAGGUGAAAUUCGUAGAUAUUCGGAGGAACACCAGUGGCGAAGGCGGCUCACUGGACCAUUACUGACGCUGAGGUGCGAAAGCGUGGGGAGCAAAACAGGAUUAGAUACCCUGGUAGUCCACGCCGUAAACGAUGAAUGUUAGCCGUUGGGGAGUUUACUCUUCGGUGGCGCAGCUAACGCAUUAAACAUUCCGCCUGGGGAGU
rnacentral:rRNA from 1 species